rnacentral:rRNA from 1 species
GACGAACGCUGGCGGCGUGCUUAACACAUGCAAGUCGAGCGGUAAGGCCCUUUCGGGGGUACACGAGCGGCGAACGGGUGAGUAACACGUGGGUGACCUGCCCUCAGCUCUGGGAUAAGCCUGGGAAACUGGGUCUAAUACCAGAUAUGACUCCAUGACGCAUGUUGUGGGGUGGAAAGCCUUGUGCGGCUGAGGAUGGGCCCGCGGCCUAUCAGCUUGUUGGUGGGGNGAUGGCCUACCAAGGCGACGACGGGUAGCCGGCCUGAGAGGGCGACCGGCCACACUGGGACUGAGACACGGCCCAGACUCCUACGGGAGGCAGCAGUGGGGAAUCUUGCGCAAUGGGCGAAAGCCUGACGCAGCGACGCCGCGUGAGGGAUGACGGCCUGGUGUAAC